rnacentral:rRNA from 1 species
GGACACGUGAAACCCUGACUGAAUCUGGGAGGACCACCUCCCAAGGCUAAAAUACGUAUCAUGAUCGAUAGUGAACGAGUACCGUGAGGGAAAGGUGAAAAGAACCCCGUAAGGGGAGUGAAAUAGAAUCCUGAAAUCAUGUGCUUACAAUGAGUGGGAGUCCCGAUUUAUCGGGAUGACCGCGUGCUUUUUGUAGAACGAUCCAGCGAGUUAAUGUAUACGGCGUUAGGUUAAGUCUUUUUCAAGAUGGAGCCGUAGUGAAAGCGAGGGUUAAUAGCCCGAAUUAGUCGUAUGUAUUAGACCCGAAACCGGGUGACCUAACCAUGGGCAGGCUGAAGCUUCGGUAAAACGGAGUGGAGGGCCGAACCACCGCACGUUGUAAAGUGCUUGGAUGACCUGUGGUUAGCGGAGAAAUUCCAAUCGAACCCGGAGAUAGCUGGUUCUCCUCGAAAUGCUUUAGGGCUAGCGUCAUAAACUACUGCUCGGAGUAGAGCACUGAAUGGGGUUAGGGCCGUUUUACGGGUACCCACGUCCCCAACCAACUCCGAAUGCCGAGCAAGACUAUUA